rnacentral:rRNA from 1 species
GAGGGGGGGAUCUUAGGACCUCUCGCUACAGGGGCGGCCGAUGGCAGAUUAGCUAGUUGGUGGGGUAAAGGCCUACCAAGGCGACGAUCUGUAGCUGGUCUGAGAGGACGACCAGCCACACUGGGACUGAGACACGGCCCAGACUCCUACGGGAGGCAGCAGUGGGGAAUUUUGGACAAUGGGGGCAACCCUGAUCCAGCAAUGCCGCGUGUGUGAAGAAGGCCUUCGGGUUGUAAAGCACUUUUGUCCGGAAAGAAAACGUCGUGGUUAAUACCCGUGGCGGAUGACGGUACCGGAAGAAUAAGCACCGGCUAACUACGUGCCAGCAGCCGCGGUAAUACGUAGGGUGCAAGCGUUAAUCGGAAUUACUGGGCGUAAAGCGUGCGCAGGCGGUCCGCUAAGACAGAUGUGAAAUCCCCGGGCUUAACCUGGGAACUGCAUUUGUGACUGGCGGG